AACACGGCAAUGAUAGAAAUGCAGUAGUGAAAGGAUCCCUGUGUUCAGAGAGUCGGCGGAUGGUGGGAGUCGAUACAAAUCCUUUGAUGAAUUACCUUCUGGAGCUUCUUUUACGAAAGCAAUGGUGAUUAGUAAAAGACGGUGAACCCGUUAUCUUUUUGAGCGGAGGAUAUGUGUCCAUAUCCUCAACUUGGGUGGUAACGCGUGUAGAAGACACGUCCCAUGA
rnacentral:ncRNA from 1 species